UGUCUCAGGUGGCAUGGUCACGUUCAAUGAAGAUCUUCGGAUGCUCCAGUUCAGAGGAGUGACUUGAUCCAGAUUGAAGGUAUUAAAAUAGCUAGGGGCAGGCCUAAAAUGAUCAUAGGUGAAGUAGUGAGGAAAGACAUGCAAAGACUAGGCCUUGUCUCAAGUAUGACAUAGAAUAGAGCUGACUAGAGGGCAAGGAUCCAUGUAACCAACCCCAUUUAG